AUUUAGAGGAAGUAAAAGUCGUAACAAGGUUUCCGUAGGUGAACCUGCGGAAGGAUCAUUACCGAACGAGACUUCCAGCUGGAUGCUGUUGUGCUGGCCACUCGGGGCAAAUGUGCACACCUCUGGCUGUUUGUUUCUUCAGUUCCACCUGUGCACUGCAUGUAGACACGCUCUGUGCCUAUGAUAUAACGGUUGAUACACUCUUUUGCAUAUUGGUCGGCAUGUUACGAAAUGUAUGACAAUAUAUUAUACAACUUUCAACAAUGGAUCUCUUGGCUCUCGCAUCGAUGAAGAACACAGCGAAAUGUGAUAAGUAAUGUGAAUUGCAGAAUCCAGUGAAUCAUCGAAUCUUUGAACGCAUCUUGCGCUCCUUGGCAUUCCGAGGAGCAUGCCUGUUUGAGUGUCAUUAAACUAUCAAAACACACCUUUAUUUGGAGUGUUUUGGACUUUGGGAGUGUUUUGCUGGCCUUUUUGAGCCAGCUCUCCUCAAAAGCAUUAGCUUUGGAGACCGUCAGUGUUGAUAACUUUGUUCACACUGAGGCUCCAACACAUAUAUAUAUAUAUGUACCUUUGACCUCAAAUCAGGUAGGAACUACCCGCUGAACUUAAGCAUAUCAAUAACCGG
rnacentral:rRNA from 1 species